UGAUGAGAGCAAGGACGAACGAAUUGCCGGAGCGCAGCCAAUGACGAACGGAUCCAUUUUGCUUCCUCACUGA
rnacentral:snoRNA from 1 species